rnacentral:rRNA from 1 species
GUCUACAGCCAUAUCUCCCUGAACACAUCUGGUCUCAUCUGAUUUCAGAAGUUACUCAGGGUUGGGCCUGAUUAGUGCAUGGAAGGGAGUUCAGCUUUGAUUCUAUGGAGCACCAGUUC